CAGGCGUCCAAUCCUUCUCUUGUCCCCUGAUCUCUGGGGUUGGAAGGUCCAGGGCGGGGACGCUGUCCAUCCGCCCAUCACCAGGGGGCAGGAUGCCUGGGGCUAGACGCGCAUUGCGCGGGCGCAGCCCCGCCCAGGUGCGCGCGCUGGGGCUUUCCCCGCUGACGCAGCGGAAGCGCUGCCCCUACAUGGGCCGAUUCUGUCCAGUGACGCGACGGCGGUCUCCGGGCAGAUUCCGGGAAUCCCCUCCCCCGCUCUGCCCGGCAGGGCUGCGGCGCCGGGAAGGGGGCCGGGAUUUUCCCAGGCAGGCGGCUGCCGGGGCCCGGAAAGCCCCAGGCCUGGGUCCAGAGCGUCCGCGGUGGGAGGGCCAUACUCCUGGGUCCCGGAGCCAACCCAGAGACUGCCCCAUCGGGUUGGCGUCCCGGCCCCGCCGCGCCCACGCGCGCUCCGUCUGACCUGACCUGGGCGGGGGGUUGCUGCAGCCUUCGUUGCCGCCGCGGUACCCCCACCCCUGCCAGGAAGGGCGGCGCCCGCCUGCCAAUUUCCCCUCCCGGGUGCCAGGUUGGGAGCAGGGCGACUGCCAGGUCUGGUCCUGCCGGGGCGGCUGCUUGGGCGGCCGGGCGCCGUCGUCGCCGCCGCCGCCGCCCUCUCGCGGGACGCCCGCCCCCGCAGCUGGGAAAGGUGGGAGGGCUGCUGGUACGUCCGCAGGGGGUCUAGCUGGCUUCGGAGCUGGAAGCCCCCAGAACAGCGGAGAAAAACACAGGCUGAGAAACCGCAGGGGUGGGGUGGGCAGAACAGACAAUUCAUUAAUUCAUUUAUGAACCUUGGAGACACUGCCUGGACCGUGGCAGACAGACAAUAAACAAACAUGAUUCGGAGAUGGUGCCAGGUCCUGGGACAACAACGUUCUGGGCAAGAGGGAACAGUACGUGCAAAGUUCCCGUGGCCAGAACAAGAUCAGUCUGUUAAAGAACAGCAAGAAAUCAUUGUGUGCCUGGAUUCAAGUGAACCAAGAGUGGGUAGAUGAGGUCAGGGAAAUCCAUGGACGGCCUUGGGGAAGGACUGUAGAUAAAAUUCCAAGGCCCAGAUGAGUGUUUUGGAGGGUUAAUAAUCUAGAUAGCAAUCCUGUGGAAGGAAAUGGGGGUUCAG